UAUAUAUUGUCUACAAAUCAUGGAAGAGGAAGCGAUUGCUAUGCCUAUGGGAUUGUAUCAACUGAUAACUUCCUAAGAAAGAAAGGACUAUGCAAAAAUACACGAAUGACGUUAUAUGUGAUAAAAACAACUCACCCCGGCGGCUCGUGGCCACUUUGCUUUGUUCUUAUCACUGACACGAAUGGCAUUAUCCGGUGAAUCUAUAACUGAACAGACAACGGUUCCUUUGAAGGAUCGCUGGCUUCGCUGCUACGACUACGAGAUUGGCUAUAACUGAAUAACCGACUAGCCUGCGUGCAAACGAAUCGCUUGUCGAAGGUUGCAAUUCAAUCGACGAUGUUGUGCUCGGCAGUUUCCUUGAGGGACGACGACACAUUCCCACCAGAGAGAACCACCACGAUUGCCAGAGGCGCCUCACCUUCUGUUUUCCGAUAAGAAGUAUUAAUGUGCCAGCUUGAAAGACGAUUCCAGAGAGCAAGAAUACAAUUACCAGCCCAUAGGAGGUUUCAUAUUCAAGAAAAUCUAG
rnacentral:misc_RNA from 1 species